rnacentral:lncRNA from 1 species
GAUCACACUUUACUCCUUUAAUUUUUUUUAACAAUUAAAAAGAUCCAUUCUCACUUUAAAAAUGCACUAUUAACAUACAUUGUCAGCAUUUCAUGGUUGAAGAAGAGUUUGAUUUUGUACUCUUUAUGGCGGAAGCUUCGAUGCCAAUGCCAUAGCCUCACCUUCCAAAGUAAAAUCAAUUGAUUUAUCAUUUUAUCAGAGAAACGAGCAAGUAUAAAGGCAUAGGAAGAGGGUCAUUAAUGAAACUCUAUCAAAGUUUUAAUUGGCAUGAAGAAAAAUUUUAGUAGUAUUAGUAAUAACUAAUAAACAUACAUAAUUAAGUACCAACAUGUAUUACAGUAAUCAAGUUUCUAAGGAAAUGGUUAUGAUGAUAAUAAAUUAAUAAUUCAUUCAUGGUAAUAACAGUUUUGCAUAAACAAAUACAAUGUAAUUAAAUAUUGUUUUUUUGCAUAAAAAGUGAAAUGGUUUCUUUACUUCUCAUUCACUCGUCAGUGGUCAGAUGCAGUAAAGAAUCCUGACCUGACAGUCUAUAAUAAUAACAAAUCUGAAAAUAUUUUAAAAUACCAAAUUUUUUUUAUUUAAGGUAAAUUAUUUUUUUCUCAAAAAUACUCAUAAAANNNNNNNNNNNNNNNNNNNNNNNNNNNNNNNNNNNNNNNNNNNNNNNNNNNNNNNNNNNNNNNNNNNNNNNNNNNNNNNNNNNNNNNNNNNNNNNNNNNAAUAUAGAAAAUAUUAAAAAAAGUAGUAUAAUAACGUCAAUGUAAUUUUGCUUAUUAACUAAAGGAUGAUAAAAAAUAACAAAAUCAAUAAAAGUAGUUAGUCUACUAGUCUGCUUAAAAAGAUAUCAAAAAUUCGAAUUUUACUUUAUACAUAUAGUAACUCAUUGACUAACAAUAAAUUCUUAAAUUAAGUUUUGACUUGCGACGAAUUAAUUUUUGACCUACUAUAUUAGGAUAUCUAUAGUGUAGAAAAAAAAAAGGAUUAUUAAAAAUGAGUUUAGAUAUGAAAAUGAAGGGUGUCAGAAAACAAUAAAAGAAGGACCCUCGUGAAAUGGAUUUUGUUUGGUUUGGUUUUUGGAGUGGUGUAAUGCAAAGUGCUGUGGCGAACCUCACAGUCGUACCUUCAAAUUAUUGCUCCCCGAAUUGCUCGCUGAACCAACUCAAGUGCUCAACUUGACACUCCACGCUUCCGCUAAAUUACCAUUCUAACCUACUAAACUUCUCUUAUUUACCACACAUGCCACAACCAUCAAAUUCUUAAAAGUGUUAGAUUCUAAUAUUCUCAUUAUGUAAUACAAUAUAAAUAUGAUAACAAAUUGAUAUAAAUAAUAGAAUUAGUUUAGUUGUGAUAGGUUUUGAUGAUAUGAAAGAGGGUUUAAGUUAAACUUCAUACAUUUCAAAAAUAUAAAAAUAGAAAAAUAAUUAUAUUAUAUAUACACACAAAAAAUUAAUUACUCAUAUAAAAUAUAUAUUAAAAUAUAAAAUAUAUAUUAAAAAAUAAAUAUAUGAUGAUUAAUUUAGAGAUUAAUUUUAUGUGUAUACAUAAUAUUUUUUUAAUAAACAAUUCAUGUAACACCCUAACUUUUAGCACGUCAUGAUCGUACCAAAAGUAAGGCGUUACGGACCUGAUUUCCUUUAUUAUAAAUUUACUAUUGAGCCUUUACGUCGAUAUCGCGUUUCAGUUUAUAAAAAAAUAUCAGAAAAUUAUUUGUAGUAAUUAAAAUCACACAAUUAAUAAUAAUAAUAAUAAUAAUAAAUGCUAUACAAAUGAAUUUAAUAUAAAACUCAAAUACAAUACCUAUCCCUCUGGAUAAAAUAAAACUUAAAACAACAAGGGCAAGGGAACUCUAUAAAAAUAACAGGAAUCACAAGUAAAUCUACUAGUCGUCUGCAUCUUCUAACUGAAUCUUCGAACGUGUGUCACUGAAAGGGUGGAAGAAUUUGGGGUGAGAACAAACCACACGUUCUCAGUAGGGAAUGGGAAUGCCGUAAAAGUAAUGAAUUUAAUGCAAAUAAUUAACUUACUUAGCAAAACUAUUUUGUUAAACCUUUGGAAAUACUUUUAUUUCUACUUCGUAUAAAUAAUUACUUUUCUUUAAAUUUCUAAACUCAAAACAAAUUUUAAAUAUAAAACUAGUCACAUUUUCUGUCUCUCAGCCACAUAGUUAAUCCUCAGUUAAAUGUCAACUCGUAAUCACUUAAAUACACUCACAAACAAGUAGUGCAAGCAAGAGAUUCAAUUCAAAGUACAAGCAAGUCACAACAAGACAAACAAUACAAUCACAAAGUAAUAAGACAAGCAAGCGCAAUCAAAUGCAAAUGUGCAAACAACAUGAUGCAUGUCUAUCCCUAACGCAGGCCAUGAGCUCAUGUGUCGGUUGCCUACCCGCUCAACUGAACCAUUUUCAACCUUUUUUCAAUCAAGAAAUCAAAUACAUAUUCAAUCAAUCCACAGCCCACAAUUCAACAUCCAUAUAGCCAAUCAACUAAUCACAACAAUUAAAACUAUUUGCAAUUACUCAAUAAACUUUAUGGGCAUUCUUAAAUUAAAAUCGUUUAAGUUAAACCCCCUACCUUCGUAUAUCGAAAGCUCCGGAGAAGCUUUUUGACCGAGCUGCUGAAGGAGAAAACGUCAGAAAUCGUCUAUGCUUCCUAGAACUCCAGUUAACCAAACUCAAGGGAUAGGGGAGUUACGUCACCGUCGACUUCCACCGGACAAAAGUAACGCCAACACGUAGAGGAGAAGGAUACGAAUACUUUUAUCGGAUUAGAUUUUUCUUUGGAAUUACGGAUAUGAAGAAAUCGAAAUCAAAAAUUCGAUGGGGUUACGGUUUUCUUUCUUGCAUGCUUCGGCCUUCCCUUUCCUUAUUUCUUUUCUUAUGAGUUCAAUGAUGAAAGGAACAAAUAUGGGAUAAAGAUGUUUU